GUCAGGGACAGGAAGAUUUACUGACAGGAAACACUUUCCAGUAAGACUACGAACACUACAAGCGGACAAGCCCUGCAGUAAGCUUUCAGAACAGAAGAAAUUGAUUUAAAACCAGUCACUGAACGAGCCAAAAAUAAUUGCCCAAAAGGUUUGGGAUAAAGCCAGUGAAAGCACAGAGCAGAGCCUACAAGAAAUACAUUGUGCCUGAAAGGCCAUUCGCGGCACUAUUUGCAGCUUUAGGGCAAUGUAAGUUGGCCGUCCCUGUCCUGCACGCUAUUCAGAAGGAAACCAAAAAGGAGGUGAUUUUACCUCCCACGUGCAGGUCAAGAGGAGCUGAAGGAACUCCGGAUGUGGGGAGCUACCCUUGGCACUUUGCUCUCCCUGUCCUUUGGAGGCUGCGGUGGGGAGCGUCGCCACAGGAAGAAGAUUCGCGUUAUUGAGCUCACUCUCGCCGCCAUCAUUCAAGAAGUGCUAAGCGUCUACAGCAAGCCAGGUGUCCUGCUCUACCUGUCACCUGGCACCAACAGCCCUGGGGACAGAAAGAGGCACAUGGCCGUUUUGUGCUCCAGGACGCACCCUAUGAGGAAAGAAGUCUGCAUGUUUUCCAGCCUGUUUCUUUCUAGUGCUCUUGGCGGCAAAAAGAGAGAAUUGAAAGACCUAGAAAGCUAUAAUUAG
rnacentral:lncRNA from 1 species